GUGGCCAGUGCUUGUCUCCUGUUUGGCUAUAAGGAUGCUGAAGGGAAUCAUGUCACAAGCCUUCCUAGAGCUCUGGUGAUGCUCCUAAAGUCCUUGCUGGAAGCUACUCCAGUCAGUGAUUGUAUAGAAGCUCUUUGCAUAAUUUUAUUAAAGACCUUUGAUCAUCUC